rnacentral:rRNA from 1 species
UACGUAGGGGGCAAGCGUUGUCCGGAAUCAUUGGGGCGUAAAGAGCGUGUAGGCGGCCCGGUAAGUCCGCUGUAAAAGUCAAAGGCUUAACCUUUGAAUGUCAGUGGAUACUGCCGGGCUAGAGUCCGGAAGAGGCGAGUGGAACUCCUGGUGUAGCGGUGGAAUGCGCAGAUAUCAGGAAGAACACCAACGGCGAAGGCAGCUCGCUAGGACGGUACUGACGCUGAGACGCGAAAGCGUGGGGAGCGAACAGG